AAUAAGCUACAAGGACAUGUUGUACAAUACAGGGAAUAUAGCCCAUAUUUUAUAAUAACUAAAAUUGAGUAUAACCUUUAAAAAUUGCGAAUCACUAUGUUGUACACCUGUAACUUAUACAAUAUACAUCAACUAUACGUCAAAAACAAAAAUAUAAAUUGACUUUAAAAGACUCU